rnacentral:piRNA from 1 species
ACAAAUACUUUUUCCUAGGUGCCCAGAUAA